rnacentral:rRNA from 1 species
GCAGGGCGAGCCUGGAGCAGCCAUGCCGCGUGUAUGAGAAGGCCUUCGGGUUGUAAAGUACUUUCAGCGAGGAGGAAGGGAUUAAGGUUAAUAACCGUGUCAGUGACGUUACUCGCAGAAUAAGCACCGGCUAACUCCGUGCCGCAGCCGCGGUAAUACGGAGGGUGCAAGCGUUAAUCGGAAUUACUGGGCGUAAAGCGCACGCAGGCGGUUUGUUAAGUCUGAUGUGAAAUCCCCGGGCUCACCCUGGGAACUGCAUUCAAUACUGGUAAGCUAGAGUCUUGUAGAGGGGGGUAGAAUUCCAGUGUAUCGGUGAAAUGCGUAGAGAUCUGGUGGAAUACCGGUGGAGUAAGCGGCCCCCUGGACACAUACUGACGCUCAUGUGCGAAAGCGUGGGGAGCAAACAAGAUUAGAUACCCUGGUAGUCCACCCCGUAUACUCAUGUCUACUAGAAGAUGGCUCCCUUGAUGAGUGGUCUUCUUGGAGCUAACGCUUAAAGUCCACCGCCUGGUAGAUUACUGCCGCAAGGUUAAUAACUCACAUGAAUUGACGGGUGCCCUCACAUUGCGCGUGGAGCAUGUGCUUUAAUUCGAUGCAAACCCGUUUAACUUUAUCUACUCUUUGAACAACCUUAAAUCUUUCUUUA